CAAGUAGUCAUCUUCUAAUACCUGAUAAGUUUGGUUUUCACCAUCUUUGUGUAUAUGUUUUUAUAAUUAAUGAUAUGUGAUUCUACUGCAGUUAUUUACAUUAUAUAACAAUAACACGCAUAAAUCAUGUCCAAGGAACUGCUUGUUAAGGUGCAGUUUGUUUGCCUAGGUGUGAUAUAUUUGAACUCAUUGAUGAGCAAUUUUCUGUGUUAUGCACAGUGCCCAUCCUUGUCAAUUGGUG
rnacentral:misc_RNA from 1 species